UGCAUAAAUAAAUAAAUAAAUAAAUAGUAGUGAAAUUAUGUGAUGUUACGUCGUCGGGUGCACGGAAUGCAGGUAAGCUCAGACCACCGCGCGCGCCGGACAUGGGAAGACGUAAGCCCGACGACGCACGCUUCCAUUAUACUCGUAUAAUAUAUAAAAGGAGCAAGGCUACGAAUGAGGCUAUUUAUUAAGGUAAGAUCAUAUUUCUUUAAAAUCGUUCCCGUGCCUAAUUUAUCUUACACAACCCUGCAUUUACAGGCUAUAAAAAAAAAAAAAAAAAAAGAGACGAUGGCAUACAUAAAAUAAAAACAAAUGACGUCAACGUCGACGAGGCUGUCACCGAAGCACGUGCUGAACCAACCUACCGCCCGCGACGAAGUCAGUUCAAUUAGGAUCCGAAUCGGAGGCGGCAAGUUGUUCCAACACUUCGUCGCUGCAUAGCGGAAACUACCAUGGAACGCUGCAGAUCGAUGCAUGGGUAUAUUGAGCAUGUAAGACGAUGCUCGUGUAGGGUAAUUCCUGUUACAUUCCUUUGCCCAGGUUAAUUUAUCGUACAAGUACACAGGGGCUUUACUUUGGAUCACGUCGAAUAGUAAGGUCGCAAGAUGCAAUUGCCUACGAUGUUCCAUCCUAAUCAUUCGUGCAUCAUUAAUAUAAGGAGAAAUAUGCGCGCAACGUGGUAUAUUAAAACAGUACCGCAUGCAUGCAUUUUGUACCCGUUGUAUAAGUUUUUUUGUACGUGCAAGUAGCCUAGGUUCAAUUACAAUAUCAGCAUAGUUGAAUUUUGAAAGAACCAGCGUUUCACACAACUUCACUCGCAUAUCCUUACUGAGAACGUUUCUUAUCUGAUACAAGACUUUUAACCUAUAAAAACAAUUACGAGCUGUAUUCAUGGUAUGUCUUUCAAACCUUAACCCCUCAUCAAUCACUAAGCCUAAAUUACGCACCUCUGUCACUCUUUCAAUCCUUUCACCCCUUAUGUGAAUAAAUGGAUUUAAACUACUGA